rnacentral:rRNA from 1 species
AGUGAACGCUGGCGGUAGGCCUAACACAUGCAAGUCGAACGGCAGCACAGUAAGAGCUUGCUCUUACGGGUGGCGAGUGGCGGACGGGUGAGGAAUACAUCGGAAUCUACUUUUUCGUGGGGGAUAACGUAGGGAAACUUACGCUAAUACCGCAUACGACCUACGGGUGAAAGCAGGGGAUCUUCGGACCUUGCGCGAUUGAAUGAGCCGAUGUCGGAUUAGCUAGUUGGCGGGGUAAAGGCACACCAAGGCGACGAUACGUAGCUGGUCUGAGAGGAUGAUCAGCCACACUGGAACUGAGACACGGUCCAGACUCCUACGGGAGGCAGCAGUAGGGAAUAUUGGACAAUGGGCGCAAGCCUGAUCCAGCCAUACCGCGUGGGUGAAGAAGGCCUUCGGGUUGUAAAGCCCUUUUGUUGGGAAAGAAAAGCAGCAGGUUAAUACCCCGCUGUUCUGACGGUACCCAAAGAAUAAGCACCGGCUAACUUCGUG